GGGUGAUUAGCUCAGUUGGGGAGAGCAUCGCCCUUACAAGGCGAGGGUCACUGGUUCAAGUCCAGUAUCACCCACCA
rnacentral:tRNA from 1 species